rnacentral:rRNA from 1 species
AUUGAACGCUGGCGGCAGGCUUAACACAUGCAAGUCGAGCGAGCGGCGGACGGGUGAGUAAUGUAUGGGAAACUGCCUGAUGGAGGGGGAUAACUACUGGAAACGGUAGCUAAUACCGCAUACCAUCAGAUGUGCCCAGAGGUGAUUAGCUAGUAGGUGGGGUAAUGGCUCACCUAGGCGACGAUCCCUAGCUGGGCUGAGAGGAUGACCGGCCACACUGGAACUGAGACACGGUCCAGACUCCUACGGGAGGCAGCAGUGGGGAAUCUUGGACAAUGGACGCAAGCCUGACGGAGCAAUGCCGCGUGUGUGAAGAAGGCUUUCGGGUUGUAAAGCACUUUCAGCGAGGAGGCGUUACUCACAGAGGAAGCACCGGCUAACUCCGUGCCAGCAGCCGCGGUAAUUC